GAAUGUGCCAGGGUCAAGUCUGUACGGAUUUUCAUGGUGAAUAGAUUACAUGCUUGCAUUCAUGUUCACUUCCGAAGUCCUUAGUGUCUUCCUUCCCUUACUUACAUAUUAACCUCAAGUACCCCGCGCGACUCCUGCCAAGCUUUACUGGAGGUGGGGAACAAUGUCGAGCUCCCAGGACACAGGUUCUCU
rfam:Colius striatus contig46626, whole genome shotgun sequence.